GCGCCCGUAGCGCAGUCGGAUAGAGCGUUUGACUUCGUAUCAAUUAGUCGGGGGUUCGAGUCCCUCCGGGCGCACCA
rnacentral:tRNA from 1 species